AACGAACGCUGGCGGCAUGCCUAACACAUGCAAGUCGAACGAGACCUUCGGGUCUAGUGGCGCACGGGUGCGUAACGCGUGGGAACCUGCCCUUAGGUUCGGAAUAACUCCCCGAAAGGGGUGCUAAUACCGGAUAAUGUCUUCGGACCAAAGAUUUAUCGCCUUUGGAUGGGCCCGCGUUGGAUUAGCUAGUUGGUAGGGUAAAAGCCUACCAAGGCGACGAUCCAUAGCUGGUCUGAGAGGAUGAUCAGCCACACUGGGACUGAGACACGGCCCAGACUCCUACGGGAGGCAGCAGUAGGGAAUAGUGGACGAUGGGCGAAAGCCUGAUCCAGCAAUGCCGCGUGAGUGAUGAAGGCCUUAGGGUUGUAAAGCUCUUUUACCCGGGAUGAUAAUGACAGUACCGGGAGAAUAAACUCCGGCUAACACCGUG
rnacentral:rRNA from 1 species